UUAAGCGACUAAGCGUACACGGUGGAUGCCCUGGCAGUCAGAGGCGAUGAAGGACGUGCUAAUCUGCGAUAAGCGUCGGUGAGGUGAUAUGAACCGUUAUAACCGGCGAUUUCCGAAUGGGGAAACCCAGUGUGUUUCGACACACUAUCAUUAACUGAAUCCAUAGGUUAAUGAGGCGAACCGGGGGAACUGAAACAUCUAAGUACCCCGAGGAAAAGAAAUCAACCGAGAUUCCCCCAGUAGCGGCGAGCGAACGGGGAGGAGCCCAGAGCCUGAAUCAGUGUGUGUGUUAGUGGAAGCGUCUGGAAAGGCGCGCGAUACAGGGUGACAGCCCCGUACACAAAAAUGCACAUAUUGUGAGCUCGAUGAGUAGGGCGGGACACGUGGUAUCCUGUCUGAAUAUGGGGGGACCAUCCUCCAAGGCUAAAUACUCCUGACUGACCGAUAGUGAACCAGUACCGUGAGGGAAAGGCGAAAAGAACCCCGGCGAGGGGAGUGAAAAAGAACCUGAAACCGUGUACGUACAAGCAGUGGGAGCCUCUUUAUGGGGUGACUGCGUACCUUUUGUAUAAUGGGUCAGCGACUUAUAUUCUGUAGCAAGGUUAACCGAAUAGGGGAGCCGAAGGGAAACCGAGUCUUAACUGGGCGUUAAGUUGCAGGGUAUAGACCCGAAACCCGGUGAUCUAGCCAUGGGCAGGUUGAAGGUUGGGUAACACUAACUGGAGGACCGAACCGACUAAUGUUGAAAAAUUAGCGGAUGACUUGUGGCUGGGGGUGAAAGGCCAAUCAAACCGGGAGAUAGCUGGUUCUCCCCGAAAGCUAUUUAGGUAGCGCCUCGUGAAUUCAUCUCCGGGGGUAGAGCACUGUUUCGGCAAGGGGGUCAUCCCGACUUACCAACCCGAUGCAAACUGCGAAUACCGGAGAAUGUUAUCACGGGAGACACACGGCGGGUGCUAACGUCCGUCGUGAAGAGGGAAACAACCCAGACCGCCAGCUAAGGUCCCAAAGUCAUGGUUAAGUGGGAAACGAUGUGGGAAGGCCCAGACAGCCAGGAUGUUGGCUUAGAAGCAGCCAUCAUUUAAAGAAAGCGUAAUAGCUCACUGGUCGAGUCGGCCUGCGCGGAAGAUGUAACGGGGCUAAACCAUGCACCGAAGCUGCGGCAGCGACACUAUGUGUUGUUGGGUAGGGGAGCGUUCUGUAAGCCUGUGAAGGUGGCCUGUGAGGGUUGCUGGAGGUAUCAGAAGUGCGAAUGCUGACAUAAGUAACGAUAAAGCGGGUGAAAAGCCCGCUCGCCGGAAGACCAAGGGUUCCUGUCCAACGUUAAUCGGGGCAGGGUGAGUCGACCCCUAAGGCGAGGCCGAAAGGCGUAGUCGAUGGGAAACAGGUUAAUAUUCCUGUACUUGGUGUUACUGCGAAGGGGGGACGGAGAAGGCUAUGUUGGCCGGGCGACGGUUGUCCCGGUUUAAGCGUGUAGGCUGGUUUUCCAGGCAAAUCCGGAAAACCAAGGCUGAGGCGUGAUGACGAGGCACUACGGUGCUGAAGCGACAAAUGCCCUGCUUCCAGGAAAAGCCUCUAAGCAUCAGGUAACAUCAAAUCGUACCCCAAACCGACACAGGUGGUCAGGUAGAGAAUACCAAGGCGCUUGAGAGAACUCGGGUGAAGGAACUAGGCAAAAUGGUGCCGUAACUUCGGGAGAAGGCACGCUGAUAUGUAGGUGAAGCGACUUGCUCGUGGAGCUGAAAUCAGUCGAAGAUACCAGCUGGCUGCAACUGUUUAUUAAAAACACAGCACUGUGCAAACACGAAAGUGGACGUAUACGGUGUGACGCCUGCCCGGUGCCGGAAGGUUAAUUGAUGGGGUUAGCGGUAACGCGAAGCUCUUGAUCGAAGCCCCGGUAAACGGCGGCCGUAACUAUAACGGUCCUAAGGUAGCGAAAUUCCUUGUCGGGUAAGUUCCGACCUGCACGAAUGGCGUAAUGAUGGCCAGGCUGUCUCCACCCGAGACUCAGUGAAAUUGAACUCGCUGUGAAGAUGCAGUGUACCCGCGGCAAGACGGAAAGACCCCGUGAACCUUUACUAUAGCUUGACACUGAACAUUGAGCCUUGAUGUGUAGGAUAGGUGGGAGGCUUUGAAGUGUGGACGCCAGUCUGCAUGGAGCCGACCUUGAAAUACCACCCUUUAAUGUUUGAUGUUCUAACGUUGGCCCGUAAUCCGGGUUGCGGACAGUGUCUGGUGGGUAGUUUGACUGGGGCGGUCUCCUCCUAAAGAGUAACGGAGGAGCACGAAGGUUGGCUAAUCCUGGUCGGACAUCAGGAGGUUAGUGCAAUGGCAUAAGCCAGCUUGACUGCGAGCGUGACGGCGCGAGCAGGUGCGAAAGCAGGUCAUAGUGAUCCGGUGGUUCUGAAUGGAAGGGCCAUCGCUCAACGGAUAAAAGGUACUCCGGGGAUAACAGGCUGAUACCGCCCAAGAGUUCAUAUCGACGGCGGUGUUUGGCACCUCGAUGUCGGCUCAUCACAUCCUGGGGCUGAAGUAGGUCCCAAGGGUAUGGCUGUUCGCCAUUUAAAGUGGUACGCGAGCUGGGUUUAGAACGUCGUGAGACAGUUCGGUCCCUAUCUGCCGUGGGCGCUGGAGAACUGAGGGGGGCUGCUCCUAGUACGAGAGGACCGGAGUGGACGCAUCACUGGUGUUCGGGUUGUCAUGCCAAUGGCACUGCCCGGUAGCUAAAUGCGGAAGAGAUAAGUGCUGAAAGCAUCUAAGCACGAAACUUGCCCCGAGAUGAGUUCUCCCUGAGUCUUUGAGACUCCUGAAGGAACGUUGAAGACGACGACGUUGAUAGGCCGGGUGUGUAAGCGCAGCGAUGCGUUGAGCUAACCGGUACUAAUGAACCGUGAGGCUUAACCUU
rnacentral:rRNA from 2 species